AGAUGUGUAGUUCAGUAGUAAAGUUCUUGUCUUCCAUACAUGAGGCCCUGGGUUCAAUCCCCAGCACAACAC
rnacentral:tRNA from 1 species